rnacentral:lncRNA from 1 species
GGGGGGAUGCUGGCACGGUACCUAAUUUCAGACCAGCUCUCCUGCCAAGGACAACGGAAAAAGCUGGUUGGAAUAAUACUUCAGAAAACUACCGAGGCUGUAAAGAUGCAAGAGCCCAAGAUCUCAGAAAGAAGGGAAGCAAGGACUGAGGAGCCUGACUGGCCUUUACCUGCAAGCACACCUUGGCAGUCAAGCAUCGUCUGGGAUCCCAGAGAACUGAACAGCAAGGAUGAUCAAGUAAAAGCCCGAUGACUACUUCCAGUAGACUCAUGAGGCUGCAGGGAUCAGAAAGGAGUAAGGGUCUGCCAAAGGGAAGGAGCCAAGGUGUUUGUUUGUUCCUUGAUGUUUGAGCUG